ACUUCAAAUAUAAACAUUUCACGGUUACUAAAACUGUUUAAUUUCCAUUAGCAUUUUCUAUGGUAACUGUUUUCGUAAAAAAAUAAUUCAAAAAAUACCCCUCUUUGCGAAGUUGGCUCUGUUUAGUUUGCACACAAAUUUUGGUAUGCGAUCGCACUGCCAGUCGAGACCGAAGAGAAAC